rnacentral:rRNA from 1 species
AUUGAACGCUGGCGGCAGGCUUAACACAUGCAAGUCGAGCGGAGAUGAGGUGCUUGCACCUUAUCUUAGCGGCGGACGGGUGAGUAAUGCUUAGGAAUCUGCCUAUUAGUGGGGGACAACAUUCCGAAAGGAAUGCUAAUACCGCAUACGUCCUACGGGAGAAAGCAGGGGACUUUCGGGCCUUGCGCUAAUAGAUGAGCCUAAGUCGGAUUAGCUAGUUGGUGGGGUAAAGGCCUACCAAGGCGACGAUCUGUAGCGGGUCUGAGAGGAUGAUCCGCCACACUGGGACUGAGACACGGCCCAGACUCCUACGGGAGGCAGCAGUGGGGAAUAUUGGACAAUGGGCGGAAGCCUGAUCCAGCCAUGCCGCGUGUGUGAAGAAGGCCUUUUGGUUGUAAAGCACUUUAAGCGAGGAGGAGGCUACUAGUACUAAUACUACUGGAUAGUGGACGCUACUCGCAGAAUAAGCACCGGCUAACUCUGUGCCAGCCGCCGCCGUAAAAC